GGAACUAUAGCUCAAUGGUAGAGUACUUGUCUAAUAUGCAUGAGGCUCUGGGUUUAAUCCUCAGCAUUUCAA
rnacentral:tRNA from 1 species